rnacentral:rRNA from 1 species
CAGUAGCCGCGGUAAUACGUAGGGUACAAGCGUUAAUCGGAAUUACUGGGCGUAAAGCGUGCGCAGGCGGUUUGUUAAGACAGAUGUGAAAUCCCCGGGCUCAACCUGGGAACUGCAUUUGUGACUGGCAAGCUAGAGUGUGGCAGAGGGGGGUGGAAUUCCGCGUGUAGCAGUGAAAUGCGUAGAUAUGCGGAGGAACACCGAUGGCGAAGGCAGCCCCCUGGGCCAACACUGACGCUCAUGCACGAGAGCGUGGGGAGCAAACAGGAUUAGAUACCCCGGUAGUCCCUGUCUCUUAUAC